UACGAAGGGGGCUAGCGUUGUUCGGAAUUACUGGGCGUAAAGCGUGCGCAGGCGGUUAUGUAAGACAGGUGUGAAAUCCCCGGGCUUAACCUGGGAACUGCAUUUGUGACUGCAUAGCUAGAGUACGGUAGAGGGGGGAUGGAAUUCCGCGUGUAGCAGUGAAAUGCGUAGAUAUGCGGAGGAACACCGAUGGCGAAGGCAAUCCCCUGGACCUGUACUGACGCUCAUGCACGAAAGCGUGGGGGAGCAAACAGG
rnacentral:rRNA from 1 species